rnacentral:rRNA from 1 species
UACGUAGGGUGCAAGCGUUAAUCGGAAUUACUGGGCGUAAAGCGUGCGCAGGCGGUUAUGUAAGACAGAUGUGAAAUCCCCGGGCUCAACCUGGGAACUGCAUUUGUGACUGCAUAGCUAGAGUACGGUAGAGGGGGGAUGGAAUUCCGCGUGUAGCAGUGAAAUGCGUAGAUAUGCGGAGGGAACACCGAUGGCGAAGGCAAUCCCCCUGGACCUGUACUGACGCUCAUGCACGAAA